rnacentral:rRNA from 1 species
AUUGAACGCUGGCGGCAUGCUUUACACAUGCAAGUCGAACGGCAGCGCGGGGGCAACCCUGGCGGCGAGUGGCGAACGGGUGAGUAAUGCAUCGGAACGUAUCCUGUAAUGGGGGAUAACGUAGCGAAAGUUACGCUAAUACCGCAUACGCUCGAGAGAGGAAAGUGGGGGAUCGCAAGACCUCACGUUAUAGGAGCGGCCGAUGUCCGAUUAGCUAGUUGGUGGGGUAAAGGCCCACCAAGGCGACGAUCGGUAGCUGGUCUGAGAGGAUGAUCAGCCACACUGGGACUGAGACACGGCCCAGACUCCUACGGGAGGCAGCAGUGGGGAAUUUUGGACAAUGGGCGAAAGCCUGAUCCAGCCAUGCCGCGUGCGGGAAGAAGGCCUUCGGUUGU